rnacentral:lncRNA from 1 species
AUCAUCAUCAAAAAGGGGGAGAAUGUUAGCAAAAAAAUUAAAGACAGAGUUUUGAUGAUGUACAAAAUUGCACAAACACAUGAUCCAAGAAGACAAAUUGAAGAUCUCUUAUUAUUGAAAGCUUUUGUAAUAAUCAUAGUUGAUGUAUUAGUGCUCAAAAAUGUAAUAGGGCUGAUUCUUGUACUCUCUAUAUGAUAAAUUGCUGUUUAGAAUCAAACACAAGCGGUUUUAAUCGAUUAAACCUAGUU